ACAAUUAUAUAGAGCAAAACUACAAGUUUGCUUGUCUGAUUAGAAUAAAAACCUGCAAUGAAUAAUAAAUAUCAUUGUUUUUUGUUCACUCAACUUAUCACACAUCUACCACUACAAAAGGUAUAGGUUUUUCACCUAUCCAUGAAAAUACAACAUAAAACAAAGUAAACAUAAUACAAUUCAAAAGUAUGUUAGAACACUCUCAAAUUCUAACAUGAAUUGAAUUUGUGAGGUGCUAUUGUUAUUCUUCUCGAUGAUGUUGA
rnacentral:lncRNA from 1 species